rnacentral:rRNA from 1 species
UACGGAGGAUGCAAGCGUUAUCCGGAAUGAUUGGGCGUAAAGCGUCCGCAGGUGGCAAUGUAAGUCUGCUGUUAAAGAGUGAGGCUCAACCUCAUAAGAGCAGUGGAAACUACAUAGCUAGAGUGCGUUCGGGGCAAAGGGAAUUCCUGGUGUAGCGGUGAAAUGCGUAGAGAUCAGGAAGAACACCGGUGGCGAAGGCGGUGGUCUGGGCCGGAACUGACGCUGAGGAGCGAAAGCGUGGGGAGCGAACAGG